GGAUGUGUGGCGAUCUGGUGGCGAUGUCUGUCACCCCACUGAUCCCCAGGGUUAAUCUGGCUGACAACAUCAGUCUGCUAGGCUUCCCUCUCUUUCUAACCUCUCCAUGUGCAUCCCUCCCAAAGCUACGCACUUAUAAGGAAGGACAACCUGCCCAGACAGAGGACUAGCCUUCGGUCAAGGGUACCCAGGUAGCUUUGGUCCCCGGAAAGAACUUGCAGACAAGCUCUCAAGAAACAAAGACCAUAUGCAACAGGAUCCUAGCCUAAAGUCCAAAACCAGUCGAAGCUAAUAUUCAAUGACAGAAAUCAGGGCUGGGGAUGUGUCUCGGUUGGCAGAGCCC
ensembl:misc_RNA predicted gene, 25265